AACGAACGCUGGCGGCAUGCCUAACACAUGCAAGUCGAACGAACCCUUCGGGGUUAGUGGCGCACGGGUGCGUAACGCGUGGGAAUCUGCCCUUUGCUUCGGAAUAACUCAGGGAAACUUGUGCUAAUACCGGAUGAUGUCUUCGGACCCAAGAUUUAUCGGCAAGGGAUGAGCCCGCGUAGGUUUAGGUAGUUGGUGGGGUAAAGGCCUACCAAGCCGACGAUCCUUAGCUGGUCUGAGAGGAUGAUCAGCCACACUGGGACUGAGACACGGCCCAGACUCCUACGCGAGGCAGCAGUGGGGAAUAUUGGACAAUCGGCGCAAGCCUGAUCCAGCAAUGCCGCGUGAGUGAUGAAGGCCCUCGGGUCGUAAAGCUCUUUUACCAGGGAUGAUAAUGACAGUACCUGGAGAAUAAGCUCCGGCUAACUCCGUG
rnacentral:rRNA from 1 species